GCUAUAUACAGGGUGUUACGGUACAGAGUCAAUGUGUAGACUACAUACAGGGGGUACCGGUACAGAGUCAAUGUGGAGACUAUAUACAGGGUGUUACGGUACGGAGUCAAUGUGGAGACUAUAUACAGGGGGGUACCAGUACAGAGUCAAUGUGGAGACUAUAUACAGGGGGGUACCGGUACAGAGUCAAUGUGGAGACUAUAUACAGGGUGUUACGGUACAGAGUCAAUGUGGAGGCUAUAUACAGGGGGUACCGGUACAGAGUCAAUGUGGAGACUAUAUACAGGGUGUUACGGUACAGAGUCAAUGUGGAGACUAUAUACAGGGGGGUACCAGUACAGAGUCAAUGUGGAGGCUAUAUACAGGGUGUACCAGUACAGAGUCAAUGUGGAGGCUAUAUACAGGGGGGUACCGGUACAGAGUCAAUGUGGAGACUAUAUACAGGGUGUUACGGUACAGAGUCAAUGUGGAGACUAUAUACAGGGUGUUACGGUACAGAGUCAAUGUGG
rnacentral:lncRNA from 1 species